UACGGAGGGUGCGAGCGUUGUCCGGAAUCACUGGGCGUAAAGGGCGCGUAGGCGGCUUUGUAAGUCGGGGGUGAAAGCCUGUGGCUCAACCACAGAAUUGCCUUCGAUACUGCAUGGCUUGAGACCGGAAGAGGUAAGUGGAACUGCGAGUGUAGAGGUGAAAUUCGUAGAUAUUCGCAAGAACACCAGUGGCGAAGGCGGCUUACUGGUCCGGUUCUGACGCUGAGGCGCGAAAGCGUGGGGGAGCAAACAGG
rnacentral:rRNA from 1 species